GAUUUGAGUAUCGUAAGAG
rnacentral:rRNA from 1 species